UACGUAGGGUCCGAGCGUUGUCCGGAUUUAUUGGGCGUAAAGAGCUGCGUAGGCGGCUCAGUAAGUCGGAUGUGAAAACUCGGGGCUCAACCCCGAGACGCCAUCCCGAUACUGCUGUGGCUUGAAUCUGGUAGGGGAGCACGGAAUUCCUGGUGUAGCGGUGAAAUGCGCAGAUAUCAGGAAGAACACCCGUGGCGGAAGGCGGCUCUCUGGUACGGAACUGACGCUGAGACGCGAAAGCGUGGGGAGCGAACAGG
rnacentral:rRNA from 1 species